AUUGAACGCUGGCGGCAGGCCUAACACAUGCAAGUCGAGCGGCAGCGGAAAGUAGCUUGCUACUUUGCCGGCGAGCGGCGGGCGGGUGAGUAAUGUCUGGGAAACUGCCUGAUGGAGGGGGAUAACUACUGGAAACGGUAGCUAAUACCGCAUAACGUCGCAAGACCAAAGAGGGGGACCUUCGGGCCUCUUGCCAUCAGAUGUGCCCAGAUGGGAUUAGCUAGUAGGUGGGGUAAUGGCUCACCUAGGCGACGAUCCCUAGCUGGUCUGAGAGGAUGACCAGCCACACUGGAACUGAGACACGGUCCAGACUCCUACGGGAGGCAGCAGUGGGGAAUAUUGCACAAUGGGCGCAAGCCUGAUGCAGCCAUGCCGCGUGUAUGAAGAAGGCCUUCGGGUUGUAAAGUACUUUCAGCGGGGAGGAAGGUGUUGAGGUUAAUAACCUCAGCAAUUGACGUUACCCGCAGAAGAAGCACCGGCUAACUCCGUGCCAGCCGCCGCGGUAA
rnacentral:rRNA from 1 species